rnacentral:tRNA from 2 species
GGUCUUAAGGUGUCCAACAUAUUUAAUUGCAAAUUAAAAGUUACUGGUUAGCGCCAGUUAAGACUU